GCAUGUUCCUCAGAUAUGCUGGGUUAGGAUCUAGUGGGGCAGGGGUGGAGGAGAGGGAACCUGAUUUUUAAAUAUGACCCCCCAUGUCACUUUCAUGUUCCUUGGUUAGGAGCCAGUGCCAGGCACAGGCCCUGGGUUCAAAUCCCACCUUAAAGCCAUUCUGCAGUCUGGCCAAGGUGCUUCACUCUCUGGGCCUCAAAACCUUCAGCGGCGAACCAGCAUCAUAGAAACCGGGCAUCAGCCACGACCACAUGUGGGCUACAAGAAGGCCAGUGGAAGCUUUUCAUGCAAAGAGCUUAGCCUGGGCCUGGUGCCUAGUAGGUGCUCAGUACCCCCAGGGGGCUGCCCAGGGUGCCACCCCUUCUCAACGCCCUCUCUAGGAGAGUACCCAAAUUUCAGCAGGGAAUGCGAGAUCCCACAGAAUGCUCUGCCCGUCUCCUCCAGGCACUGACCUGGACCUCGAGAUCCUGACCAUGAAAGGUUAGGUGCAAAUGACGCACUCGAGGAAAAGCCAUGUCAUUCUUCCAUCACUGUCUAGAGGAGGGGACAGAGGCCCAGAGAGGCGCAGGGAGCUGUGGCGGGAAAGGUGGCUGAGAGGGGCCCAGCCCCAUGCCUGGGCAGGCAGCAAAGAGCACUGGCUGGUUCACACGUCCAGACUGAAUCCUUGCUCCCUGCUGGACUCCCAGGCUCACCCCAGGCCUGGCCCUUGUCUCAGGCAACGCUCAAGGGACAGAGCAUGGCUGAACCCCUCCACAGCUCCUGCCUUCCACCUGGACACACGGCGCUCUGUUAAAGUGGGGGUUCAGCCCAGCCUGGCCCCCAGCCAGUGCCGCCCCGCACCUCCUACCCAGCUCCUGCUUAGGUUGAGGGAGGACCGAGAAGAGGGUGUUGGGCCCACCAGCCCCGGGAGCCAUGUGGGAGGGGAGGAGGCC
rnacentral:lncRNA from 1 species